rnacentral:rRNA from 1 species
GAUGAACGCUGGCGGCAUGCCUAAUACAUGCAAGUCGAACGAGAGGAAGGAAAGCUUGCUUUUCUGAAUCUAGUGGCGAACGGGUGAGUAACACGUAGGUAACCUGCCCAUGUGCCCGGGAUAACUUCUGGAAACGGAUGCUAAAACCGGAUAGGUAGCAGACAAGCAUUUGACUGCUAUUAAAGUGGCUAAGGCCAUGAACAUGGAUGGACCUGCGGUGCAUUAGCUAGUUGGGGAGGUAACGGCCCACCAAGGCGGCGAUGCAUAGCCGGCCUGAGAGGGCGGACGGCCACAUUGGGACGGAGACACGGCCCAAACUCCUACGGGAGGCAGCAGUAGGGAAUUUUCGUCAAUGGGGGGAACCCUGAACGAGCAAUGCCGCGUGAGUGAGGAAGGUCUUCGGAUCGUAAAGCUCUGUUGUAAGAGAAAAACGACAUUCAUAGGGAAUGAUGAGUGAGUGAUGGUAUCUUACCAGAAAGUCACGGCUAACUACGUGCCAGCCGCCGCGGUAAAAC